rnacentral:rRNA from 1 species
AUUGAACGCUGGCGGCAUGCCUUACACAUGCAAGUCGAACGGCAGCACGGGAGCAAUCCUGGUGGCGAGUGGCGAACGGGUGAGUAAAGUAUCGGAACGUGCCCAGUCGUGGGGGAUAACGUAGCGAAAGUUACGCUAAUACCGCAUACGAUCUAUGGACGAAAGCGGGGGCUCGCAAGACCUCGCGCGAUUGGGGCGGCCGAUAUCAGAUUAGGUAGGUGGUGGGGUAAAGGCUCACCAAGCCGACGAUCUGUAGCUGGUCUGAGAGGACGACCAGCCACACUGGGACUGAGACACGGCCCAGACUCCUACGGGAGGCAGCAGUGGGGAAUUUUGGACAAUGGGCGAAAGCCUGAUCCAGCCAUGCCGCGUGCAGGAUGAAGGCCUUCGGGUUGUAAACUGCUUUUGUACGGAACGAAAAGGUUUGGCCUAAUAAGCUGAGCUCAUGACGGUACCGUAAGAAUAAGCACCGGCUAACUACGUGCCAGCCGCCGCGGUAA